rnacentral:rRNA from 1 species
GCCUAAUGGGUCCCAUCUGGUUGACUCUCUCUUGUUUGUGGAUCCUGCCAGCAGUUAACUCUGUUGGUGUGGAGUCCACAUCGUUUACCUUGAAAAAAUUAGAGUGUUCAAAGCAGGCGUUUGCUUGAAUAUAUUAGCAUGGAACAAUGGAAUAGGACGCUGGUUCUAUUUUGUUGGUUUUGAGAACCAGAGUAAUGAUUAAUAGGGACAGUUGGGGGCAUUCAUAUUUCAUUGUCAGAGGUGAAAUUCUUGGAUUUAUGAAAGAUGAACUUCUGCGAAAGCAUUUGCCAAGGAUGUUUUCAUUAAUCAAGAACGAAAGUUAGGGGAUCGAAGACGAUCAGAUACCGUCGUAGUCUUAACCAUAAACUAUGCCGACUAGGGAUUGGGCGUGGUUUGUUCAUUGACCCGCUCAGCACCUUACGAGAAAUCAAAGUCUUUGGGUUCCGGGGGGAGUAUGGUCGCAAGGCUGAAACUUAAAGGAAUUGACGGAGGGGCACCACCAGGAGUGGAGCCUGCGGCUUAACUUGACUCAACACGGGAAAACUUACCAGGUCCAGACAUAGUAAGGAUUGACAGAUUGAGAGCUCUUUCUUGAUUCUAUG